GCUAGCUACAGGCUUAACACAUGCAAGUCGAGGGGCAGCAUGGUCUUAGCCUGCUAAGGCUGAUGGCGACCGGCGCACGGGUGAGUAACACGUAUCCAACCUGCCGUCUACUCUUGGCCAGCCUUCUGAAAGGAAGAUUAAUCCAGGAUGGGAUCAUGAGUUCACAUGUCCGCAUGAUUAAAGGUAUUUUCCGGUAGACGAUGGGGAUGCGUUCCAUUAGAUAGUAGGCGGGGUAACGGCCCACCUAGUCAACGAUGGAUAGGGGUUCUGAGAGGAAGGUCCCCCACAUUGGAACUGAGACACGGUCCAAACUCCUACGGGAGGCAGCAGUGAGGAAUAUUGGUCAAUGGGCGAUGGCCUGAACCAGCCAAGUAGCGUGAAGGAUGACUGCCCUAUGGGUUGUAAACUUCUUUUAUAAAGGAAUAAAGUCGGGUAUGCAUACCCGUUUGCAUGUACUUUAUGAAUAAGGAUCGGCUAACUCCGUGCCAGCAGUCGCGGUAAUACGGAGGAUCCGAGCGUUAUCCGGAUUUAUUGGGUUUAAAGGGAGCGUAGAUGGAUGUUUAAGUCAGUUGUGAAAGUUUGCGGCUCAACCGUAAAAUUGCAGUUGAUACUGGAUGUCUUGAGUGCAGUUGAGGCAGGCGGAAUUCGUGGUGUAGCGGUGAAAUGCUUAGAUAUCACGAAGAACUCCGAUUGCGAAGGCAGCCUGCUAAGCUGCAACUGACAUUGAGGCUCGAAAGUGUGGGUAU
rnacentral:rRNA from 1 species